CCUACGGGAGGCAGCAGUGGGGAAUAUUGCACAAUGGGGGAAACCCUGAUGCAGCGACGCCGCGUGAGUGAAGAAGUAUUUCGGUAUGUAAAGCUCUAUCAGCAGGGAAGAAGAAAGACGGUACUUGACUAAGAAGCACCGGCUAACUACGUGCCAGCAGCCGUGGCAAUACGUAGGGGGCAAGCGUUAUCCGGAUUUACUGGGGGUAAAGGGAGCGUAGACGGCUGUGCAAGUCUGAAGUGAAAGCCCAGGGCUCAACCCUGGGACUGCUUUGGAAACUGUGGGGCUAGAGUGCUGGAGAGGUAAGUGGAAUUCCUGGUGUAGCGGUGAAAUGCGUAGAUAUUAGGAGGAACACCAGUGGCGAAGGCGGCUUACUGGACAGUAACUGACGUUGAGGCUCGAAAGCGUGGGGAGCAAACAGGAUUAGAUACCCUGGUAGUC
rnacentral:rRNA from 1 species